rnacentral:rRNA from 1 species
AUGUUUAGUGUUGAUGGUGUUGGGACAAAGCUGAAGCUUGCAUUUGAAACUACUUCCUCCGUCCCAUAAUAUAAGAACGUUGUAGCAAUUAGUGUCAAUGCCAUCCUAACAUCAGGCGCAAAACCAUUGGUCUUCUCGGAUUACUAUGCUACGGGCAAGCUUGAUGUCGAUCUUGCGGAGAAGGUUAUCAAGGGAAUUAUGGAUGGAUGCGAACAAUCAGGCUGUAAUCUGAUAGGAGGAGAGACUGCAGAGAUGCAUGCUUUCUAUGCGGAAGGUGAAUAGGAUCUUGGUUUUAGCCAUGGUGUUGUGGACAAGGAUAAGCUCAUCGAUGGUAAAAACAUCGUGGAGGGAGAUAUCCUCAUUGGUUUUCCUUCAAAUGGGGUUCAUUCAACCAGGUUCUCUCUCCUUAGAAGAGUAUUGGACAAAAGUGGGCUCUCCUUGACUGACCAGUUCCCAGGAAACGACGUGAAAACAAGUACCGUCGGUGAAAUUCUCAUGACACCAACUGCCAUCUAUGUUAAGCAAGUGCUUGAGAUCAUUAGGAAGGGUGGUGUGGGACUAGCCCAUACCACUGGUGGUGGCUUCACUGAUAACAUCCCAAGAGUAUUUCCCACCGGACCCGGUGCGAAAAUCUUCACUAGAUCGUGGGAAGUGCCACCUGCGUUCAAGUGGCUUCAACAGGUUGGAAAAAUUGAAGAUGCCGAGAUGAUGCGGACGUUCAACAUGGGCGUCGGGAUGGUCCUUAUGGUGAGCGAGGAUGCAAUUGACACGAUUAUCAAGGAAUCAAGCCCUGCUUAUCGCAUUGGAGAGGUGAUCCAGGGCAAGGGUGUUCACUAUGUCUGA